UUGCUUAGUGGCUGAGUUGUAAGCGGUAGACUGUAGAUCUAUUUACGAGAUUAAUUUUUCCUAGCAAA
rnacentral:tRNA from 1 species